GACGGACGCUGGCGGCGUGCUUAACACAUGCAAGUCGAACGAUGAACCCGGAGCUUGCUCCGGUGGAUUAGUGGCGAACGGGUGGGUAACACGUGAGUAACCUGCCCUUGACUCUGGGAUAACUGCGGGAAACUGUAGCUAAUACCGGAUACGACCCUCGGCGGCAUCGCCAGGGGGUGGAAAGAAUUUCGGUCAAGGAUGGACUCGCGGCCGAUCAGCUAGUUGGUGAGGUAACGGCUCACCAAGGCGACGAUGGAUAGCCGGCCUGAGAGGGUGCACGGCCACACUGGGACUGCGACACGGCGCAGACUCCUACGGGAGGCAGCAGUGGGGAAUAUUGCACAAUGGGCGCAAGCCUGAGGCAGCAACGCCGCGUGAGGGAUGACGGCCUUCGGGUUGUAAACCUCUUUUAGUAGGGAAGAAGCGAAAGUGACGGUACCUGCAGAAAAAGCACCGGCUAACUACGUGCCAGCCGCCGCAGUAA
rnacentral:rRNA from 1 species